CGCCUCCCCACUCCCCGUCUCCUCCUCCCUCACGCAGCUCGUCGAGAUGGCGUCCGAGGCGGCCAAGGUGGUGGUGCCGGAGUCCGUGCUCCGCAAGAGGAAGCGGGAGGAGGUGUGGGCGGCCGCGAGCAAGGAGAAGGCCGUCGCCGAGAAGAAGAAGUCCAUCGAGAGCCGCAAGCUCAUCUUCUCCCGCGCCAAGCAGUACGCCGAGGAGUACGAGGCCCAGGAGAAGGAGCUGGUGCAACUUAAGCGUGAGGCUCGGAUGAAGGGUGGUUUCUAUGUCAG
rnacentral:misc_RNA from 1 species